AGUAGGAGAAGAUCUUAAAACCUAAAAUAUUUGGCGGUUCUUUAGUCUUGUUAGAGGAACCUGCCCUGUGAUCGAUGGUCCACGGGUAAUUUUACUCUUUUUAAAUAUCGCCGUCGACGUCAGGUCAGGAUUUAGCUAAUGAAAGAGGUUGAAAGUGGAUUUAAAUGUAGAUAGAGGUAGUCUGAGCUCUAGGGAAUGU
rnacentral:rRNA from 1 species